ensembl:lncRNA
CCUCAACCAAGUCUAUCAGAUGUCUCUGCUCUGUACCCAAGAGAAUAAGACAAAUGCCUUGUGUCUUCAUGUUCACGCUGCUGGAAAUAUUUGGGACUAUUUCUCUCAAUCAGUGGGGAUAUGUGUGCCUGAGUGCAGACUCUUCACCUUCCAGCACAGACCCUUUGGCCUCCUGAUACAGACUCACAUGGGGCACCACCACAUGGAGCUCCAGGCCUUCGAGUUGAUCCUUCAGAUCCCCAGUGCAAAGACCUUUUCCACUCUUCUACACCAGACUCUGUGGGUGGCCAUGGGAUCGAACUCAGGUCCUUGAGCUUGUGCAGCAGGCGAUGAAACCACUGAGCUAAAUCCCCAGCCCCUGAUAACACCUUUCAUUAAGAAUGGAAAGGCAAAGCUUUUCUGGGGAAGAAAACGGAAGCAUCAGGCCCCAUGUUUCUACCUCCUUCCAAAGCAGACUGUGUAUGCUUGGAAAGAAAAGUAUUUUGGAGCAUCAAACACAUCUGCAUGUGUGCAGCAAAUGAGUAAUGGAAAAGCACCAAAGGAGAGGUAUAGGAGUUCAAGAUUCACCAAGGAAC